CGACAAUGUUUACAAGCAGUUUUAUUAACGUAUUUCUGUGGUUGAAACACCGAUUGAGUGAUUACAUGAGAUACAUGAUAGGGAUUUCGGCCUACCAUAGUAAAGAGGAAGUAGGCCUACACUCCAGGUGAUUUCUCGCCCACGUUAAAGAGCACCAAAAAACGGAGCGCCCCUCGGAAACUUGUGGAUUCGCUGUGAUCGCAUAAUCAACAGGCUGCGAUGUCAAGAUUGC